UGAGGAAUAUUGGUCAAUGGACGCAAGUCUGAACCAGCCAAGUAGCGUGCAGGAUGACGGCCCUAUGGGUUGUAAACUGCUUUUAUAUGGGGAUAAAGUGGGGAACGUGUUCCCUUUUGCAGGUACCAUAUGAAUAAGGACCGGCUAAUUCCGUGCCAGCAGCCGCGGUAAUACGUAUGUUGCGAGCGUUAUCCGGAAUUAUUGGGCUUAAAGGGCAUCUAGGCGGUAAGACAAGUUGAAGGUGAAAACCUGUGGCUCAACCAUAGGCUUGCCUACAAAACUGUUGAACUAGAGUACUGGAAAGGUGGGUGGAACUACACGAGUAGAGGUGAAAUUCGUAGAUAUGUGUAGGAAUGCCGAUGAUGAAGAUAACUCACUGGACAGAAACUGACGCUGAAGUGCGAAAGCUAGGGGAGCAAACAGG
rnacentral:rRNA from 1 species